CAAUAAGCGGAGGAAAAGAAACUAACAAGGAUUCCCCUAGUAACUGCGAGUGAAGCGGGAAAAGCUCAAAUUUAAAAUCUGGCAGUCUUCGAUUGUCCGAGUUGUAAUUUAGAGAAGCGUUAUCCGCGUUGGACCGUGUACAAGUCUCCUGGAACGGAGCGUCAUAGAGGGUGAGAAUCCCGUCCAUGGCACGGACUACCAGUGCAUUGUGAUACGCUCUCAAAGAGUCGAGUUGUUUGGGAAUGCAGCUCUAAAUGGGUGGUAAAUUCCAUCUAAAGCUAAAUAUAGGCGAGAGACCGAUAGCGAACAAGUACCGUGAGGGAAAGAUGAAAAGAACUUUGGAAAGAGAGUUAAACAGUACGUGAAAUUGUUGAAAGGGAAACGCUUGAAGUCAGUCGCGUUGUUCAGGGAUCAGCCUUGCUUUGCUUGGUGUACUUCCUGUUCGACGGGUCAGCAUCAGUUUCGAUCGUUGGAAAAAGUGCGCAGGAAUGUGGCAUCCUCGGAUGUGUUAUAGCCUGUGUUCGUAUACAGCGGUUGGGACUGAGGAAUCAGCACUCGAUGCUUGGGAUGCUGGCAUAAUGGCUUUAAGCGACCCGUCUUGAAACACGGACCAAGGAGUCUAACAUGCCCGCGAGUGUUUGGGUGGAAAACCCGAGCGCGUAAUGAAAGUGAAAAGUUGGGAUCUCUGUCGUGGAGAGCACCGACGCCCGGACCAGACGUUUUCUGACGGCCCUGCGGUAGAGCGUGUAUGUUGGGACCCGAAAGAUGGUGAACUAUGCCUGAAUAGGGCGAAGCCAGAGGAAACUCUGGUGGAGGCUCGUAGCGAUUCUGACGUGCAAAUCGAUCGUCGAAUUUGGGUAUAGGGGGCGAAAGACUAAUCGAACCAUCUAGUAGCUGGUUCCUGCGA
rnacentral:rRNA from 1 species